rnacentral:rRNA from 1 species
UACGGGGGGGGCAAGCGUUGUUCGGAAUUACUGGGCGUAAAGGGCUCGUAGGCGGCCAACUAAGUCGGAUGUGAAAUCCCCAAGCUUAACUUGGGAACUGCAUCCGAUACUGGAUGGCUUGAAUCCGGGAGAGGGAUGCAGAAUUCCAGGUGUAGCGGUGAAAUGCGUAGAUAUCUGGAGGAAUACCGGUGGCGAAGGCGGCAUCCUGGACCGGCAUUGACGCUGAGGAGCGAAAGCUGAGGGGAGCAAACGGGG